rnacentral:rRNA from 1 species
GUAACGGCGAGUGAAGCGGUAACAGCUCAAAUUUGAAAUCUGGCCUCACGGUCCGAGUUGUAAUUUGUAGAGGAUGUUUCGAGCAUGGUCUGGCCUAAGUUCCUUGGAACAGGACGUCAUAGAGGGUGAGAAUCCCGUAUGCGGCCAGGUGCCUACGCUCAUGUGAAGCUCCUUCGACGAGUCGAGUUGUUUGGGAAUGCAGCUCAAAACGGGUGGUAAAUUUCAUCUAAAGCUAAAUAUUGGCCAGAGACCGAUAGCGCACAAGUAGAGUGAUCGAAAGAUGAAAAGCACUUUGGAAAGAGAGUUAAACAGUACGUGAAAUUGUUGAAAGGGAAGCGCUUGCAACCAGACUUGCGCGCGGCUGAUCAUCCGGUGUUCUCACUGGUGCACUCGGUCGCGCUCAGGCCAGCAUCGGUUUUGGUGGUUGGAUAAAGGUCCUAGGAAUGUGGCUCCUCUCGGGGAGUGUUAUAGCCUAGGGCGCAAUGCAGCCUACCGGGACCGAGGACCGCG